rnacentral:lncRNA from 1 species
CCACAAAUAACUUAACCUAUAAGGUCAUCUUUAAUUUUUAAAAAAUUAAUUAUUCAUAAUGAACAACUAUUUUUAUUUUUCUCUAUUUAAUCAAAAUUAAUCUAGAAGUGUUUGUGUACUUUGACACUCAUAUAAAAUAGGGGGUUUAUAAAGCAAAAAAAUUGCUAGUUGUUUGCAUCAACACUUAAUUAAUCUAAUUGGACAUUAUUAAAGGUUUUAUUCUAAAAAGAUAUAACUAAGUACAAACUUUUUUGCCACUAGGCCCAACCCAUCAUGCGAGGAACUUAUAAUUACCUAGAACACAUUAGUAUCCGGUUUGAGCAUAGUAAAACCCUAAUCUAAGUAGCAGCCCGCCUCUCCACAUCCCCCCCCUAAUCUAAGUAGCAGCCCGCCUCUCCACAUCCCUUCCCAUCAUCUUGGUUCCAUCUCACCCUAUUCUAGGUAUCACUGAGUCCUCUCCAGAUCUCUUUGUUGAGCCCUCUCUGGUG